rnacentral:rRNA from 1 species
UACGUAGGGUGCAAGCGUUGUCCGGAAUUAUUGGGCGUAAAGAGCUCGUAGGCGGUCUGUUACGUCGGCUGUGAAAACCUGGGGCUCAACCCCGGGCCUGCAGCCGAUACGGGCAGACUAGAAUUCGGUAGGGGAGACUGGGAAUUCCUGGUGUAGCGGUGAAAUGCGCAGAUAUCAGGAGGAACACCGGUGGCGAAGGCGGGUCUCUGGGCCGAUAUUGACGCUGAGGAGCGAAAGCGUGGGGAGCGAACAGG